rnacentral:rRNA from 1 species
GCGCGGGAUUCGAUUAGAGUUUGAUNNNGCUCAGAAUCAACGCUGGCGGCGUGCCUAACACAUGCAAGUCGAACGAGAAAGGGUAGCAAUACCUGAGUAAAGUGGCGCACGGGUGAGUAACACGUGACUAACCUACCCUGGAGUGGGGGAUAACUGAGGGAAACCUUAGCUAAUACCGCAUAACACCUACGGGUCAAAGGAGCAAUUCGCUUCAGGAGGGGGUCGCGGCCGAUUAGUUAGUUGGUAGGGUAAUGGCCUACCAAGACGAUGAUCGGUAUCCGGCCUGAGAGGGCGCACGGACACACUGGAACUGAAACACGGUCCAGACUCCUACGGGAGGCAGCAGUGGGGAAUUUUGCGCAAUGGGGGAAACCCUGACGCAGCAACGCCGCGUGGAGGAUGAAGUCCUUCGGGACGUAAACUCCUUUCGAUCGGGACGAUUAUGACGGUACCGGAAGAAGAAGCCCCGGCUAACUUCGUGCCAGCAGCCGCGGUAAUACGAGGGGGGCGAGCGUUGUUCGGAAUUAUUGGGCGUAAAGGGUGCGUAGGCGGUUUGGUAAGUCUUGUGUGAAAUCUCUGGGCUCAACUCAGAGUCUGCACGAGAAACUGCCGGGCUUGAGUAUGGGAGAGGUGAGUGGAAUUCCUGGUGUAGCGGUGAAAUGCGUAGAUAUCNNNANGAACACCUGUGGCGNNNNCGGCUCACUGGACCAUAACUGACGCUGAUGCACGAAAGCU